rnacentral:rRNA from 1 species
GAUGAACGCUGGCGGCGUGCCUAAUACAUGCAAGUCGAGCGAACAGACGAGGAGCUUGCUCCUCUGACGUUAGCGGCGGACGGGUGAGUAACACGUGGAUAACCUACCUAUAAGACUGGGAUAACUUCGGGAAACCGGAGCUAAUACCGGAUAAUAUAUUGAACCGCAUGGUUCAAUAGUGAAAGACGGUUUUGCUGUCACUUAUAGAUGGAUCCGCGCCGCAUUAGCUAGUUGGUAAGGUAACGGCUUACCAAGGCAACGAUGCGUAACCGACCUGUGAGGGUGGUCGGCCACACUGGAGCUGAGACACGCUCCAGACUCCUACGGGAGGCAGCAGUAUGGAAUCUUCCGCAAUAGUCGAGAGCCUGACGGAGCAACGCCGCGUGAGUGAUGACGGUCUUCGGUUCGUAAAACUCUGUUAUUAGGGGAGAACAAAUGUGUAAGUAACUAUGCACGUCUUGACGGUACCUAAUCAGAAAGCCACGGCUAACUACGUG